rnacentral:rRNA from 1 species
AUCGAACGCUGGCGGCAGGCCUAACACAUGCAAGUCGAGCGAGUGGCGGACGGGUGUGUAUUGUCUGUGAAACUGCCCGCUGGAGGGGGAUAACUACUGGAAACGGUAGCUACUACCGCAUACCCUCGGAUGUGCCCAGAUGGGUUUAGCUAGUAGGUGGGGUAACGGCUCACAUAGGCGACGAUCCCUAGCUGGUCUGCGAGGAUGACCAGCAACACUGGAACUGAGACACGGGCCAGACUCCUCGGGGAGGCAGCAGGGGGGAACAUGGCACAAUGGGCGCAAGCCGGAGGCAGCAAGGCCGCGUGGAGGAAGAGGGCUUUCGGGUGGUAAAGUACGUUCAGCGGGGAGGCGUUACCCGCAGAAGAAGCACCGGCUAACUCCGUGCCAGCAGCCGCGGUAAUAC